CCCCACACUUUCCCUGAUCCCCCCUCCUUCCUUGAUCUGGAUCGGCCCCUCCUGCUCCCGACGUCGCCCGACGCAGCUCACCGUCACCAUCGCCCGCCGCCACCACCACCGCCGGACUGCUCAUCCCCGCCUCUCCUUCGCUGGUCCUCCCCAUCCGCCUCGGCCACCACCUCCACGCGUCGACGAACCGCUUCUCCGACUCGUCUCCGGCCGCUCCGACCACUUUCCUAGCUCCCCGUCGCUCACUAUGUUGGAGCCUAGGAGCCAGAUGCUACCGUCGAUGAUGACCCCUACUACACCGAGGGUGCCUACUACUACGUGCAGGAUGCCGACGACCAGGAGAAGUUUAGGAGGAUCUCAGGCAGGAGGCCCGCGCCUCUUUUGAUCUGUAUCCCCGGUUUGUGCUAUCCAUCUUAUGGCACCUUCUUUAACUUAUGUCUUACUCAGAUAUUGUUGCUUCCGCUGACUCUGUAUGGUCAAGCAUUUGUAUUCGAGCCCUCAAGGCCCCUGGCUUGUAAUAUUAAAGCUUGUAUGACUUAUUUGUUUU